rnacentral:rRNA from 1 species
UCCUGGCUAGAACGAACGCUGGCGGCGCGUCUUAAGCAUGCAAGUCGAACGGCAAGAGGUAGCAAUACCUCCUAGAGUGGCGGACUGGUGAGUAACACGUGGGUGACAUACCCUUCAGAUGGGGAUAGCUAUUAGAAAUAGUAGAUAAUACCGAAUACGAGCACAGGGGUUAGAGAUCUGUGAGGAAAGGAGCUAAGGCUCCGCUGAAGGAAUGGCCUGCGGCCCAUUAGCUAGUUGGUGAGGUAAGAGCCCACCAAGGCGAUGAUGGGUAUCCGGCCUUAGAGGGUGAACGGACACAUUGGGACUGAGAUACGGCCCAGACUCCUACGGGAGGCAGCAGCUAAGAAUAUUCCGCAAUGGACGAAAGUCUGACGGAGCGACGCCGCGUGGAUGAAGAAGGCCGGAAGGUUGUAAAAUCCUUUUGAAACUGAAGAAUAAGCGUUGUAGGGAAUGACAGCGUGGUGACAGUAGGUUUUGAAUAAGCAACGGCUAAUUACGUGCCAGCCGCCGC